rnacentral:rRNA from 1 species
GAACUGAAGAGUUUGAUCAUGGCUCAGAUUGAACGCUGGCGGCAGGCCUAACACAUGCAAGUCGAGCGGAUGAAGGGAGCUUGCUCUCUGAUUCAGCGGCGGACGGGUGAGUAAUGCCUAGGAAUCUGCCUGGUAGUGGGGGACAACGUUUCGAAAGGAACGCUAAUACCGCAUACGUCCUACGGGAGAAAGUGGGGGAUCUUCGGACCUCACGCUAUCAGAUGAGCCUAGGUCGGAUUAGCUAGUAGGUGAGGUAACGGCUCACCUAGGCGACGAUCCGUAACUGGUCUGAGAGGAUGAUCAGUCACACUGGAACUGAGACACGGUCCAGACUCCUACGGGAGGCAGCAGUGGGGAAUAUUGGACAAUGGGCGAAAGCCUGAUCCAGCCAUGCCGCGUGUGUGAAGAAGGUCUUCGGAUUGUAAAGCACUUUAAGUUGGGAGGAAGGGCAGUAAGUUAAUACCUUGCUGUUUUGACGUUACCAACAGAAUAAGCACCGGCUAACUUCGUGCCAGCAGCCGCGGUAAUACGAAGGGUGCA